rnacentral:rRNA from 1 species
AACGGGGCCUCGCCCCUUGUCCACAAACACACCCCCGUGCACAUCGAGGGCCCGGCUCGUUGAGUGGGUGGGCGACCGCCCAGGAUUCGUAGCCUCGCUUUCUUACACAAACUUCAGAAUGUAUAUCGGAAUGUCUUACGCGUUGUAACGCAUCGUAAUAUAACUUUCAGCAACGGAUCUCUUGGCUCUCGCAUCGAUGAAGAACGCAGCGAAAUGCGAUAAGUAAUGUGAAUUGCAGAAUUCAGUGAAUCAUCGAAUCUUUGAACGCACCUUGCGCUCCUUGGCAUUCCGAGGAGCAUGCCUGUUUGAGUGUCAUGAAACUCUCAACCCCUGCCAUCUUUGCGGAUGAGCGUCGGUUGGAUUUUGGAGGUUGCCGGACGCGCGUUCGGCUCCUCUUGAAUGCAUAGUAAAGCUUGGACCUGACCGACCGAGUGGACGUGAUAGAAAGUCACCGUCGACUGAAGGGUCCGUCGUUGAACGGUUCAAG